GAGGGCUUAACUGUCUCCUGUAGCCAAUCAAUGAAAUUGAUCUCACAGUACAAAUGCUGUGAUACAACUAUAAGACGAGAAGACCCUGUGGAGCUUUAAACCUUCCACAUUAACUAAUUACCCUCAACUACCAUUAGUAUAACGUGAAGUUUUAAGUUGGGGCGACUAUGGAGUAAAAAUUAACCUCCAAGUAAUACGAUUAAACCUCGUUACACACGGCUAACAAGCCUAGUCAAAACACACGACCCAGUCAAACUGACUAUCGAACCAAGUUACCCCAGGGAUAACAGCGCCAUCCCCUUAAAGAGUCCACAUCG
rnacentral:rRNA from 1 species